rnacentral:rRNA from 1 species
AUCGAACGCUGGCGGCAGGCCUAAUACAUGCAAGUCGAACGAGUGGCGGACGGGUGAGUAACGUCUGGGAAAUUGCCUGUUGGAGGGGGAUAACUACUGGAAACGGUAGCUAAUACCGCAUACCUUCAGAUUUGUCUAGAUGGGAUUAGCUUGUUGGUGGGGUAACGGUUCACAAAGGCGACGAUCCCUAGCUGGUCUGAGAGGAUGACCAGCCACACUGGAACUGAGACACGGUCCAGACGCCUACGGGAGGCAGCAGUGGGGAAUAUUGCACAAUGGGCGCAAGCCUGAUGCAGCCAUGCCGCGUGUAUGAAGAAGGCCUUCGGGUUGUAAAGUACUUUCAGCGGGGAGGCGUUACCCGCAGAAGAAGCGCCGGCUAACUCCGUGCCAGCAGCCGCGGUAAUUC